UUCAGUAAUAACAUGAGAUUACAUAAUUUGUUAUCCAAUGGUACAAUUUAUGAUAAUAUAAGCGUGUAUUUGUAUGAGUGUACAUGUAUGAUUGCGCGUUUGCGAUGUUGCUGCUUGGCGCAUUCCGGCGAGUUCGUGCACGCCGUUAGCUUGAGAGUUUCCUGCGUUUUCUGUGUUCUUUGUGUGCUUCGCUGUGACAUCUUUGGAAUAUUCCUGCGUGUUGCUCGCUUUUUAUGGACUUGUUGCCUCGAAGAUCGCCAUGAUCGCCUCCGACUCAGCGACAUCAAGGAUUCAAAAUGAGCUGGGAGAGGCCCCAGCUGGAACGGUUCACAUAGGUUGAAGGAGUGCACAUUGAGAAGGUUAUCCUGGCACAGUUUACCACGGCCUGCCAUG